UACAGAGGAUGCAAGCGUUAUCCGGAAUGAUUGGGCGUAAAGCGUCUGUAGGUGGCUUUUUAAGUCCGCCGUCAAAUCCCAGGGCUCAACUCUGGACAGGCGGUGGAAACUACCAAGCUGGAGUACGGUAGGGGCAGAGGGAAUUUCCGGUGGAGCGGUGAAAUGCGUAGAUAUCGUGAGGAAGACCAGUGGCGAAGGCAGCUCGCUGGGACGGUACUGACGCUGAGACGCGAAAGCGUGGGGAGCAAACAGGG
rnacentral:rRNA from 1 species